rnacentral:lncRNA from 1 species
UUAUGACACAUAGAAUUAGACAUAGUAUGAGUGUAGGUGGGUAGACAUUAGAAAUAUUGGGACGUUAAAGUAUGAGCAUCAUAAUAAACCCAUCCUAACAAAUAGAUAAAUGAAUCUAAUAAGGUUUUACUACUACAAGGUUAUUAUGCCUCCCCAUAGAAUGACAAGAACUACUCAAGGGAUUACAAGAGAGACAUCACAACCACG